AUGAACGCUGGCGGCGUGCCUAAUCCAUGCAAGUCGAGCGAACAGACGAGGAGCUUGCUCCUCUGACGUUAGCGGCGGACGGGUGAGUAACACGUGGAUAACCUACCUAUAAGACUGGGAUAACUUCGGGAAACCGGAGCUAAUACCGGAUAAUAUAUUGAACCGCAUGGUUCAAUAGUGAAAGACGGUUUUGCUGUCACUUAUAGAUGGAUCCGCGCCGCAUUAGCUAGUUGGUAAGGUAACGGCUUACCAAGGCAACGAUGCGUAGCCGACCUGAGAGGGUGAUCGGCCACACUGGAACUGAGACACGGUCCAGACUCCUACGGGAGGCAGCAGUAGGGAAUCUUCCGCAAUGGGCGAAAGCCUGACGGAGCAACGCCGCGUGAGUGAUGAAGGUCUUCGGAUCGUAAAACUCUGUUAUUAGGGAAGGACAAAUGUGUAAGUAACUAUGCACGUCUUGACGGUACCUAAUCAGAAAGCCACGGCUAACUACGUG
rnacentral:rRNA from 1 species